rnacentral:tRNA from 1 species
CCCUGGUGGCUGAGAGGUUAAAGCGUCUGCCUGCAAUGAGGGAGACCCGGGUUCGAUCCCUGGAUCAGGAA